AUAAUGGGUCAGCGACUUAUAUUCUGUAGCAAGGUUAACCGAAUAGGGGAGCCGAAGGGAAACCGAGUCUUAACUGGGCGUUAAGUUGCAGGGUAUAGACCCGAAACCCGGUGAUCUAGCCAUGGGCAGGUUGAAGGUUGGGUAACACUAACUGGAGGACCGAACCGACUAAUGUUGAAAAAUUAGCGGAUGACUUGUGGCUGGGGGUGAAAGGCCAAUCAAACCGGGAGAUAGCUGGUUCUCCCCGAAAGCUAUUUAGGUAGCGCCUCGUGAAUUCAUCUCCGGGGGUAGAGCACUGUUUCGGCAAGGGGGUCAUCCCGACUUACCAACCCGAUGCAAACUGCGAAUACCGGAGAAUGUUAUCACGGGAGACACACGGCGGGUGCUAACGUCCGUCGUGAAGAGGGAAACAACCCAGACCGCCAGCUAAGGUCCCAAAGUCAUGGUUAAGUGGGAAACGAUGUGGGAAGGCCCAGACAGCCAGGAUGUUGGCUUAGAAGCAGCCAUCAUUUAAAGAAAGCGUAAUAGCUCACUGGUCGAGUCGGCCUGCGCGGAAGAUGUAACGGGGCUAAACCAUGCACCGAAGCUGCGGCAGCGACGCUGAUGCGUUGUUGGGUAGGGGAGCGUUCUGUAAGCCUGCGAAGGUGUGCUGUGAGGCAUGCUGGAGGUAUCAGAAGUGCGAAUGCUGACAUAAGUAACGAUAAAGCGGGUGAAAAGCCCGCUCGCCGGAAGACCAAGGGUUCCUGUCCAACGUUAAUCGGGGCAGGGUGAGUCGACCCCUAAGGCGAGGCCGAAAGGCGUAGUCGAUGGGAAACAGGUUAAUAUUCCUGUACUUGGUGUUACUGCGAAGGGGGGACGGAGAAGGCUAUGUUGGCCGGGCGACGGUUGUCCCGGUUUAAGCGUGUAGGCUGGUUUUCCAGGCAAAUCCGGAAAAUCAAGGCUGAGGCGUGAUGACGAGGCACUACGGUGCUGAAGCAACAAAUGCCCUGCUUCCAGGAAAAGCCUCUAAGCAUCAGGUAACAUCAAAUCGUACCCCAAACCGACACAGGUGGUCAGGUAGAGAAUACCAAGGCGCUUGAGAGAACUCGGGUGAAGGAACUAGGCAAAAUGGUGCCGUAACUUCGGGAGAAGGCACGC
rnacentral:rRNA from 1 species